rnacentral:rRNA from 1 species
CUCUAUGGCCAUAUCACCUGAAAUAUGCCCAGUUUCGUCAGAUCUCAGAAGGCAAGCAGAGUUGGCCUGAUUGGUACUUGGCUGUAGAAAACACAAAGGAAGUGGUUACCUGGUCAUCGUGA